CCCUUAGAUGUUCUGGGCCGCACGCGUGCUACACUGAGUGGAUCAGCGGGUCAGGUUGCGCGAAAGUGUUUCCUAAUCUUUAAAUCCGCUCGUGAUGGGGAUUGACGGUUGCAAUUUUCCGUCAUGAACGAGGAAUACCUUGUAAGCACGGGUCAUCAUCCCGCGCUGAAUACGUCCCUGCCCUUUGUACACACCGCCCGUCGCUCCUACCGAUUGAGUGGUCCGGUGAGGCUUUGGGAUCUGAGCGGAAAGAGCGUUUCGCUGUUUCUGCCCGGAAAACUCAGUCGAACCUUAUCAUUUAGAGGAAGGAGAAGUCGUAACA
rnacentral:rRNA from 1 species